AGUUCUGUCUGUAAAACGGGCAACAUGGCCCCUUUUCAUUCCAUACUUUGCAGUAAGAUCUACUGCACUCAAGUUAAGAAGCUCAGAAAGGGAAUUCCCAGACUCCUCAAGCUUAUCUGCAUAUUGCAUCAGUGCAUGAUCAUGCAGGUAUGACCUUAUUUCCAGCGCAUCCUUGAGUAAGAAAGAAAUAGAAAUCAGAACAAUAUCUUAUUUUGUUUCUUACCUUUAUUCAGAUGUGCCUGUUGAAAGUUUAUUUUGAGUAAAAACGUAGAAAUGGAAUGGAGGAGUUUAGGAUUUUUGAUUGCGCACAAAGAUGUUUUAAUGAUCUCUUAUUUCUUUUGUUGGAACUUUAUUUUUCUGAUACUUUAUAUUGUUCUAGGGAAAUACAAGAAUUACUUAGUUGUUUACAAAGAUUUGCAAAAGAAUAUGAAGAACCCCAGAUGAUUUUCUUGAGGUAUAUACAAGAAGGGUGAAUUAUCAGUAAAGAGAACCUUUUGCCGUUGAGUCAUGUUCAACUCGUU
rnacentral:lncRNA from 1 species